rnacentral:rRNA from 1 species
AUGCCAAACACUUUGCCAUCUAGGAUAGUCUAUAUUUGUAUUUCAUUCAGUUAUCUCAUAUUUCCAGUAAAAAAACGCUUCGCUUUGGGGUUUUGGAAUAAUCUUCAGGAAGUUGGUGACGAGUUAGUAUUACUUAUGGAAAUUGUAGAAAAUAGCCCCUACAGAAUUACAAAGAGCGGGAAUAAGGAAGCUGGCAAACUUAGUGCUUCACCGUAUUUCAUAGAAAGGAAAUAG